rnacentral:lncRNA from 1 species
UUCAUUUUGUUGUCAACAAAACAAUCACCAUGCACUUUAACUUUGUGUAAAGAAGAGUACCACUGUAGAGAUUAUGUACAAUAGUUCUGGUUUAAUACCCGCACGGUUUUUGAUUUUGGUGGCUCACUUCAUUAUUUGUGUUACUUUAUUAUGGAACAAGGAGGAGUCAGUGAAUGCUUGUUUAGUGGAGCAGAUGGACCUAGAGGUAGAAAAAAUUCAUGGCAGUUACCUUACACAGUAAGUUAAAUUAUUGUUAAUUACUAAAAACCUCCUGCUUGAUACUAUUUUUAUGAACACUUGUUUCUUUAUUUAAACUAUUUUUAUAAUCUAUAAUUAUCAUAUAUUUAAGUGUAUUUAAUGAUAUUAACUGCCUUUGACCCCCAAAAUCAACUCAUAUUCAUUUUACUCACAUCUUUUCUGGACUCUGGACUGAUGUUUUCUCAUACUACUAUUAUUAUGGCAAAGUGGAGUAUAAGGCUUUAUGGUAACUAAAUAGGAAAUAUUACUUGUUUCAUGGAAAGACUGGUACACAAAUGCCAGGUCAACAAAAUAAAUUUAAAUAGGUGUAAUUACACCAAAAAGAAUGAAACCAUUAGCUGAGAAUAAAAUACAACG